rnacentral:sRNA from 1 species
UCCAAAGUCCUGACAAAUUGACCAAGUCCUAUUUAUAGAACAGAUGAGGCAAAAUACAGCAGCAGGGGAAAUUCCCUUCACUGCCCUGUCAAUGUGCCUCAAACCUGUUCUGGAGGGUCUUUCUUUAUGGGUGAGACAUACCUUCAAGUCCAUUUGAUCCUUGGUUUGA